AACACCUUUAAUAACAGUCCAGAGAGGCUGAGAAGGUACAUACGCUAAGCCGGAAGACUGUCUUCCGUGCUGGAUUUUUCUGCGCAUCUAUCCUCUUGCCUUUCGGGCAAGAGGUUUUUUAUU
rnacentral:sRNA from 1 species